rnacentral:rRNA from 1 species
UUAAGCGACUAAGCGUACACGGUGGAUGCCCUGGCAGUCAGAGGCGAUGAAGGACGUGCUAAUCUGCGAUAAGCGCCGGUAAGGUGAUAUGAACCGUUAUAACCGGCGAUUUCCGAAUGGGGAAACCCAGUGUGAUUCGUCACACUAUCAUUAACUGAAUCCAUAGGUUAAUGAGGCGAACCGGGGGAACUGAAACAUCUAAGUACCCCGAGGAAAAGAAAUCAACCGAGAUUCCCCCAGUAGCGGCGAGCGAACGGGGAGGAGCCCAGAGCCUGAAUCAGCAUGUGUGUUAGUGGAAGCGUCUGGAAAGGCGCGCGAUACAGGGUGACAGCCCCGUACACAAAAGCGCAUGUGCUGUGAGCUCGAUGAGUAGGGCGGGACACGUGGUAUCCUGUCUGAAUAUGGGGGGACCAUCCUCCAAGGCUAAAUACUCCUGACUGACCGAUAGUGAACCAGUACCGUGAGGGAAAGGCGAAAAGAACCCCGGCGAGGGGAGUGAAAAAGAACCUGAAACCGUGUACGUACAAGCAGUGGGAGCACAGGUUUACCUGUGUGACUGCGUACCUUUUGUAUAAUGGGUCAGCGACUUAUAUUCUGUAGCAAGGUUAACCGAAUAGGGGAGCCGGAGGGAAACCGAGUCUUAAUUGGGCGUUAAGUUGCAGGGUAUAGACCCGAAACCCGGUGAUCUAGCCAUGGGCAGGUUGAAGGUUGGGUAACACUAACUGGAGGACCGAACCGACUAAUGUUGAAAAAUUAGCGGAUGACCUGUGGCUGGGGGUGAAAGGCCAAUCAAACCGGGAGAUAGCUGGUUCUCCCCGAAAGCUAUUUAGGUAGCGCCUCGUGAAUUCAUCUCCGGGGGUAGAGCACUGUUUCGGCUAGGGGGCCAUCCCGGCUUACCAACCCGAUGCAAACUGCGAAUACCGGAGAAUGUUACCACGGGAGACACACGGCGGGUGCUAACGUCCGUCGUGAAGAGGGAAACAACCCAGACCGCCAGCUAAGGUCCCAAAGUCAUGGUUAAGUGGGAAACGAUGUGGGAAGGCCCAGACAGCCAGGAUGUUGGCUUAGAAGCAGCCAUCAUUUAAAGAAAGCGUAAUAGCUCACUGGUCGAGUCGGCCUGCGCGGAAGAUGUAACGGGGCUAAACCAUGCACCGAAGCUGCGGCAGCGAACGUAUCACUUAAAGCGAUUCAGCGGAUGACGAUUGACGGAGCGAAGCGACGUCAAAGCGUAUACAAAGUCGAGUCGGUUUAAGGAUACGUUCGUUGGGUAGGGGAGCGUUCUGUAAGCCUGCGAAGGUGGCCUGUGAGGGUUGCUGGAGGUAUCAGAAGUGCGAAUGCUGACAUAAGUAACGAUAAAGCGGGUGAAAAGCCCGCUCGCCGGAAGACCAAGGGUUCCUGUCCAACGUUAAUCGGGGCAGGGUGAGUCGACCCCUAAGGCGAGGCCGAAAGGCGUAGUCGAUGGGAAACGGGUUAAUAUUCCCGUACUUGGUGUUACUGCGAAGGGGGGACGGAGAAGGCUAUGUUGGCCGGGCGACGGUUGUCCCGGUUUAAGCGUGUAGGUGUGUGUUCCAGGUAAAUCCGGUUCACUUUAACACUGAGGCGUGAUGACGAGGCACUACGGUGCUGAAGCAACAAAUGCCCUGCUUCCAGGAAAAGCCUCUAAGCAUCAGGUAACAUCAAAUCGUACCCCAAACCGACACAGGUGGUCAGGUAGAGAAUACCAAGGCGCUUGAGAGAACUCGGGUGAAGGAACUAGGCAAAAUGGUGCCGUAACUUCGGGAGAAGGCACGCUGACACGUAGGUGAAGUGAUUUACUCACGGAGCUGAAGUCAGUCGAAGAUACCAGCUGGCUGCAACUGUUUAUUAAAAACACAGCACUGUGCAAACACGAAAGUGGACGUAUACGGUGUGACGCCUGCCCGGUGCCGGAAGGUUAAUUGAUGGGGUCAGCGCAAGCGAAGCUCCUGAUCGAAGCCCCGGUAAACGGCGGCCGUAACUAUAACGGUCCUAAGGUAGCGAAAUUCCUUGUCGGGUAAGUUCCGACCUGCACGAAUGGCGUAAUGAUGGCCAGGCUGUCUCCACCCGAGACUCAGUGAAAUUGAACUCGCUGUGAAGAUGCAGUGUACCCGCGGCAAGACGGAAAGACCCCGUGAACCUUUACUAUAGCUUGACACUGAACAUUGAGCCUUGAUGUGUAGGAUAGGUGGGAGGCUUUGAAGCGUGGACGCCAGUCUGCGUGGAGCCGACCUUGAAAUACCACCCUUUAAUGUUUGAUGUUCUAACGUGGACCCGUAAUCCGGGUUGCGGACAGUGUCUGGUGGGUAGUUUGACUGGGGCGGUCUCCUCCUAAAGAGUAACGGAGGAGCACGAAGGUUGGCUAAUCCUGGUCGGACAUCAGGAGGUUAGUGCAAUGGCAUAAGCCAGCUUGACUGCGAGCGUGACGGCGCGAGCAGGUGCGAAAGCAGGUCAUAGUGAUCCGGUGGUUCUGAAUGGAAGGGCCAUCGCUCAACGGAUAAAAGGUACUCCGGGGAUAACAGGCUGAUACCGCCCAAGAGUUCAUAUCGACGGCGGUGUUUGGCACCUCGAUGUCGGCUCAUCACAUCCUGGGGCUGAAGUAGGUCCCAAGGGUAUGGCUGUUCGCCAUUUAAAGUGGUACGCGAGCUGGGUUUAGAACGUCGUGAGACAGUUCGGUCCCUAUCUGCCGUGGGCGCUGGAGAACUGAGGGGGGCUGCUCCUAGUACGAGAGGACCGGAGUGGACGCAUCACUGGUGUUCGGGUUGUCAUGCCAAUGGCACUGCCCGGUAGCUAAAUGCGGAAGAGAUAAGUGCUGAAAGCAUCUAAGCACGAAACUUGCCCCGAGAUGAGUUCUCCCUGAGACUUAGAGUCUCCUGAAGGAACGUUGAAGACGACGACGUUGAUAGGCCGGGUGUGUAAGCGCAGCGAUGCGUUGAGCUAACCGGUACUAAUGAACCGUGAGGCUUAACCUU